GAUGUGGCUUAGUGGUAGAACAUCUGCUUUGCAUGCAGAAGGUUCCAGGUUCAACUGUCUGCAUCUCCUGGUAGGGCUG